rnacentral:rRNA from 1 species
AUGGUGGCGAGCGAGGGCCAGAGCCUGGCGGAGACGGCCGCGGCAUCGGCGGUGGCGGCGGCGGCGCCGGCGGGGCUCCCGAAGGAGGCGCGGGGGCUGCUGCACGAGCUGGCGGCGGAGUGGGCGGACGUGGCCGACUGCCGCGCGCUGGAGGUGGUGCCGCUCAAGGGCGCCAUGACUAACGAGGUGUACCAGGUGCGCUGGCUCACCGGCGGCGGCGCGGGCGGCGGCGAGGAGAAGGGGGAGGGCGAGUACCGGAAGGUGCUGAUGCGGGUGUACGGCGAGGGCGUGGAGGUCUUCUUCGACCGGGAGGACGAGGUGCGCACGUUCGAGUGCAUGUCCCGCCACGGCCACGGCCCGCGCCUCCUCGGCCGCUUCCCCACCGGCCGCGUCGAGGAGUUCAUCCACGCCAGGACACUUUCAGCUGUUGACCUGCGUGAUCCAGAGAUUUCAGCUAUUAUAGCAUCCAAAUUGAGGGAGUUCCACCACCUUGACAUGCCAGGUCCAAAACGUGUCCUCAUGUGGGAUAGAUUGAGGAACUGGCUCAAAACUGCCAAGAGCGUCUGCCCCUCUGACGAAGCCAAAGAGUUCCGUUUGGAUAGCCUGGAGAAGGAGAUCAAUGCAUUGGAGAGUGAAUUUUCGGGGGAAGACCAGUGCAUAGGAUUUUGCCACAAUGAUCUCCAGUAUGGCAAUAUCAUGAUUGAUGAAGAGACCAAAGCACUGACCAUCAUUGACUACGAGUAUGCAAGCUUUAACCCAAUUGCUUUUGAUAUCGCAAACCAUUUCUGCGAGAUGGCUGCGGACUACCAUUCAGAAGAGCCUCACGUACUGGACUACACAAAAUAUCCAGAUGUCGAUGAGCGGAAGAGGUUUGUGCAGACCUACCUGAGCUCUUCAGGUGAGGAGCCUGACGCAGAAAAGAUCAAGGAUCUGAUGAAUAACAUUGAGAAGUACACACUCGCCAGCCAUCUCGUCUGGGGCCUCUGGGGAAUAAUUUCGGAACACGUCAACGAUAUCGACUUCGACUACAUGGAGUAUGCGCGGCAGAGGCUUGCGCAAUACUGGCUGAAGAAACCCGAGAUUCUAUCCUGCCGUGUUGAUGAUGAAUGA